GUGCAUAAGUCUGGAAUUGAGAUUCCCAAUAUUCACAUUGUCGAUAACAAGAUCAUGGUGUUUAUUGCUGACUCGCCUUUCAGCAGGCAGUGGAUGCAGAUUUCUUGGGUGUUCAGGAGGGCAGCAGCCUCGAUGCGGCGAUCAAGUCACUCCUUAGC